rnacentral:lncRNA from 1 species
GCAAAUCGAAGAGUCGGGGCUCCUUUCUCAAAAAAGCCGGAUUCUUUUCUCAAAAGAGGCGUUUCAUUUCUUAAAGGCUGGGCUUGCUCAGAAACCACGAGCCGAACCCCGGAUUUCAAAAGAUCAAUUUGUCCAGACGUGUCGUCACUUGUCACACGCAAAUUGCUUUGCGAAAUUCUCGGGCAGUUUGUCGAAGCACCAAUGCAGAAAUCGAAGAGGGAAAUUCAACAGUCAAAGACACGCUAGCUUUCUCAAAAGCUGGGCUUCAACCCACGGGCAAAUCUUCUUUUCCAGAUUUAUCCGCACGUGUCACAUGCUACCUCUACAAUCGACGAUGCUCAGAGCUCGAAGCGCCGAUUCCAGAUAUCAAUGAGGAAUCUGCUUUGCGGAAAUUACGGGCAGCUUUGUCAGAAAGCGCGUAAUUUGUACUAUUCAUCCAUCUACCGGCUGCCGACAAUGAGUGAG